AGAAUCAACGCUGGCGGCGUGCCUAACACAUGCAAGUCGAACGAGAAAGUGGAGCAAUCCAUGAGUAAAGUGGCGCACGGGUGAGUAACACGUGACUAACCUACCCUCGAGUGGGGAAUAACUUCGGGAAACCGAGGCUAAUACCGCAUAAAACCUAAGGGUCAAAGGAGCAAUCCGUUUGAGGAGGGGGUCGCGGCAGAUUAGUUAGUUGGCGGGGUAAUGGCCCACCAAGACGAUGAUCUGUAUCCGGCCUGAGAGGGCGCACGGACACACUGGAACUGAAACACGGUCCAGACUCCUACGGGAGGCAGCAGUGGGGAAUUUGCGCAAUGGGGGAAACCCUGACGCAGCAACGCCGCGUGGAGGAUGAAAUCCCUUGGGAUGUAAACUCCUUUCGAUCGGGAAGAUAAUGACGGUACCGGAAGAAGAAGCCCCGGCUAACUUCGCGCCAGCAGCCGC
rnacentral:rRNA from 1 species